GGAAAGAUGCCAGAGUGGCCGAAUGGGGCGGUCUCGAAAACCGUUGUCCCGCUUUGCGGGACCCAGGGUUCGAAUCCCUGUCUUUCCG
rnacentral:tRNA from 2 species